rnacentral:rRNA from 1 species
UACAGAGGUCUCAAGCGUUGUUCGGAUUCAUUGGGCGUAAAGGGUGCGUAGGCGGCGCGGUAAGUCGGGUGUGAAAUCUCGGAGCUUAACUCCGAAACUGCAUUCGAUACUGCCGUGCUUGAGGACUGGAGAGGAGACUGGAAUUUACGGUGUAGCGGUGAAAUGCGUAGAUAUCGUAAGGAAGACCAGUGGCGAAGGCAGCCCCCCUGGGACGUCACUGACGCUCAUGCACGAAAGCGUGGGGAGCAAACAGG